UUGGAGUAUUCUGAGAUCACAGCAAUCUGAUGUUUAAGGAGGUUAAUGUAAUACUCACAGGGGCCUGAUGGAAGAGUUCACAAAACAGAUGAACCCACCUGAAUUCUGAGAGUUUGAGCAGGCGGAUUCUUAACCCGUAUUCAGAUGGCUGAUAACAUAACGAUGUCAUGGCCAAUGAGAAAAAUCAACUUGGAGGACAAAACUCACCUCCUCACUAACUCCAGUAGACGUGCCUCCUACUUGGAUCUUAGCUGCCCAAUAAGAACUCAAGAAAGCCAUGAGUCAGUGGGAACAAAUUCUGGUUUAAAGUGGAACAAGCCAAACUCUGUUACCCUCCUCAGCAACCCUGGGCUGAGUAGAAUCUCCACCUCACCUGCAGCCAGCCCAUGUCUUCAUGACUUGCCCAGCCUGCUGAGCCCAAUGCAGAAAUAAUACUCAACUUGAUGUCUUCAGUAAUAUAAAAUCAUUAUUUAUUUUACAACUCCCACUGUGGUUUCUGAAUGCUUCAGUGCUGAGCAGCUCCUCAAUUCCCUCUGAGGCACAAUCGUUUGUUUACCUGCUCCACUCAUUUCAUUCCGCACUUGUGUAUGGCAACUACAAGAUGGCAUGUCAACUUUCAGAAUCUGGGGGAAAAAAGGGAGUGAGACAGUUAAAAGUUUCAGCCCUAAAAGCUUUUGACACAUCUUUCUGUCCAUGUAAUCAAUCUUCUAAGUUUCCAGGAGCAGCUGAGAUUUUUUUUUUUUAAAACAGCUGUAAUCUGUGGUCAUUGAUGGUGGGGUAGAUUGUUUGCCAAACUAUUACCAUAACUGUCAACCGAAAUCAGAAAAAUAAUCUCAUUGUGCUGGACAGAUGCCUUUCCUGCAUUAUUGAUAUAGUCGCUGCGGAGUAAUAGAGAAAUAUAAAGCAUUGUUCUAUUUACAAAAGGAGAUUGGCCAAGUCCUUGAGAGUGAGCAGGAGGGACAGGCACUUAAAGGAAGUGAGAUAUAGUCAACUCAGUAAAAGUUAUGUGUCAGGGUCAUGUGGCCUCCAUAGUCAGCAGUAGAAUCUCGGUUUUCAAUAGCUUUUCCUCUCCUUUCUCACUUUCAGAUUUAGCUCCAUAGCUUAAUCUCUGACUAAAUGAGCUUACUAGUGCUUCAGUGCAGCACCGUGGAAUUCACACAGCUUUUCCCCCUUGUCUCUGGCUGCCCCAAAUGCAUCUCAGGGACUGCCAUAUUACCAGAAAAUGCACAAAACAGUGCGUUCCCAAUGCUCGACUUCACAGUGAGGAUAAGCGAGUCAGCACUGCCCAUUAGAGUACAAUACAGGAGAAUUUUUGCUUGCUUGCCAUCAAGAUACCUCUGAAGACACUUUGCAAAGCAAUGAACUAAAUAUGAGCAUUGCAGCAAAUCCUUAGGCAGAUGGAGCAACCAGCCUGCAUUUAGCCACAGCGCCCACAGAGUCUUUUGCUGUUACAAAUGUUUGUAUAUAGAGAGGGGCCCGAUUUUGCUUGGGAAUCUGCUACAGUGAACCCAUAACCCC